GACGAACGCUGGCGGCGUGCCUAAUACAUGCAAGUGGGACGCAAGGGAACACACUGUGCUUGCACACCGUGUUUUCUUGAGUCGCGAACGGGUGAGUAACGCGUAGGUAACCUGCCUAUUAGCGGGGGAUAACUAUUGGAAACGAUAGCUAAUACCGCAUAAUAUUAAUUAUUGCAUGAUAAUUGAUUGAAAGAUGCAAGCGCAUCACUAGUAGAUGGACCUGCGUUGUAUUAGCUAGUUGGUAAGGUAAGAGCUUACCAAGGCGACGAUACAUAGCCGACCUGAGAGGGUGAUCGGCCACACUGGGACUGAGACACGGCCCAGACUCCUACGGGAGGCAGCAGUAGGGAAUCUUCGGCAAUGGACGAAAGUCUGACCGAGCAACGCCGCGUGAGUGAAGAAGGUUUUCGGAUCGUAAAGCUCUGUUGUAAGUCAAGAACGUGUGUGAGAGUGGAAAGUUCACACAGAACGGAGCUACCA
rnacentral:rRNA from 1 species